rnacentral:lncRNA from 1 species
GAACAAAGAGGAACGGAUGAAGAUAGCUUCGAAUACCCUGUUUCCAUUCCCAUGUUAAGUGACCGUAUCCGAAUGCGAUUCGAUGUGCAACUUCAGGACCUUGCCAAUGUUCAUCUGGAUUGAAGUAACUCUGCACUAGCAUUGAAUUUAGCAUUCGAAAUGCUAAGCAGAAAAGGAAGCUUCGUUUAUCUGAAUCUGAUUUCGGAAAAUUUGGAGUUUGGAGUUUAUUUUGUGGUGCAUCUUUGUAAUUGUCGCGUCUUUUUCUCAUUGUUACAAUUUAGAUGUUGAAAUCAUAUGAGAUUGAGAAGGAGGGAUGUGAAUCGCCGGCGGCCUGUGAUAGAUUGAUGUGAGGCGGAGGGAGGAGAUGGAAGGUUAUGGCGGCGUACGGCGUCGGAAACUGGUGGUGGCGGGCUUUGGGUCGAAGAGGCAAUGGAGGUUGUUUUUGCAGUUCGCGUUUUGUUUUCUGAAUUAAACUUGUUUUUUUGUUUUUUUUAUUUAGAGUGCAGCACCACCUUAUGGGUUAGAAGAAGCUAAAUUAACCCAUCAAAAUUGACAUAAUCGAACCUGAGGACACUCUUAGAUAUCAAGUCAAUAUCACCAAGUCAAUCCAGGUGGGUUCAUUGCCUCCCCAGGUAUUUUUCAUUUUCUUUCAUACCUAUCUUUUUGAGGAAGAGUUAUAUUAUCAACUCUCAAAACACAACAUGGACUCAUAUUGAAAUCAAAUUAUCCACUAUCAAUAAUGUAACGCAAGAGAAGUGCUACAAACACUCUCCUAAUAAAAUUGUACUUCCUCUUUUUUGAGGAAGAGUUAUA